rnacentral:rRNA from 1 species
CGCGUAGGCGGCCGUGUAAGUCACUUGUGAAAUCCCGGGGCUCAACUCCGGGGCUGCAGGUGAGACUGCAUGGCUAGAGCUUGGUAGAGGCGAGUGGAAUUCCCGGUGUAGCGGUGGAAUGCGUAGAUAUCGGGAAGAACACCGGUGGCGAAGGCGGCUCGCUGGGCCAAUGCUGACGCUGAGGCGCGAAGCGUGGGAGCAAACA